AUUGAACGCUGGCGGCAGGCCUAACACAUGCAAGUCGAGCGGAUGAAGCGAGCUUGCUCCUGGAUUCAGCGUCGGACGGGUGAGUAAUGCCUAGGAAUCUGCCUGGUAGUGGGGUAUAACGUCCGGAAACGGGCGCUAAUACCGCAUACUUCCUGCGCGAGAAAGUGGGGGAUCUUCGGACCUCACGCUAUCAGAUGAGCCUAGGUCGGAUGAGCUAGUUGGUGGGGUAAAGGCCUACCAAGGCGACGAUCCGUAACUGGUCUGAGAGGAUGAUCAGUCACACUGGAGCGGAGACGCGGUCCAGACGACUGCGGGAGGCAGCAGUGGGGAAUGUUGGACAAAGGGCGGAAGCAUGAUACAGCCAGCCCGAGUGUGUGAAGAAGGUCUUCGGAGUGUAAAGCACUUUAAGUUGGGAGGAAGGGCAGUAAGUUAAGACCUUGCUGUUUUGACGUUACCAACAGAAUAAGCACCGGCUAACUUCGUG
rnacentral:rRNA from 1 species